rnacentral:snRNA from 1 species
GUGCUUGCUUCAGCAGCACAUAUACUAAAAUUGGAACAAUACAGAGAAGAUUAGUGUGGCCCCUGCUCAAGGAUGACAUGCAAAUUCAUGACGCGUUCCAUAUUUUU